AGGCGAUGGUGAAGGACAUUUGUUUGGAGAUCCUUAAACCUCUCCCAAGCUUCAUAAAGAGACUCCCCAUCAUAUUAAUAAAAGUCAAUUAUUUCUUUGGUCAACUU